rnacentral:rRNA from 1 species
UUCGACACACUAUCAUUAACUGAAUCCAUAGGUUAAUGAGGCGAACCGGGGGAACUGAAACAUCUAAGUACCCCGAGGAAAAGAAAUCAACCGAGAUUCCCCCAGUAGCGGCGAGCGAACGGGGAGGAGCCCAGAGCCUGAAUCAGUGUGUGUGUUAGUGGAAGCGUCUGGAAAGGCGCGCGAUACAGGGUGACAGCCCCGUACACAAAAAUGCACAUAUUGUGA